rnacentral:rRNA from 1 species
GCUUACGACCAUAUCACGUUGAAUACACGCCAUCCCGUCCGAUCUGGCAAGUUAAGCAACGUUGAGUCCAGUUAGUACUUGCACAGGUGGUGGGAGAU